UCAGGGAGACCUACCCCAUCUCAAGACCGAAAGCAAACAGCGAAUCAAGUCGAGAUGAGGUCAACCGAGGUCGAGGGCAGACAAGCACAAGGCUUUUCAACUAUGAUUGGUUUGGCAGGAAGGGCUAUUAGCUCAGGUGGUUAGAGCGCACCCCUGAUAAGGGUGAGGUCCCUGGUUCGAGUCCAGGAUGGCCCACCCAAAGAGCAAAAAACGAGCCAACAGCAGGACUCAGCAACCGGAGGGGGAAGCAACCGGACUGCU
rnacentral:tRNA from 1 species